rnacentral:rRNA from 1 species
UACGUAGGGGGCAAGCGUUGUCCGGAAUCAUUGGGCGUAAAGCGCGUGUAGGCGGUUCGGUAAGUCUGCUGUGAAAGUCCAGGGCUCAACCCUGGGAUGCCGGUGGAUACUGUCGAACUAGAGUACGGAAGAGGCGAGUGGAAUUCCCGGUGUAGCGGUGAAAUGCGCAGAUAUCGGGAGGAACACCCGUGGCGAAGGCGGCUCUCUGGGACGGUACUGACGCUGAGACGCGAAAGCGUGGGGAGCGAACAGG